rnacentral:tRNA from 1 species
GGGGGCGUAGCUCAGCUGGGAGAGCACCUGCCUUGCAAGCAGGGGGGCAGGAGUUCGAUUCUCCUCGUCUCCA